UUUCCGUAGGUGAACCUGCGGAAGGAUCAUUAUUGAAACUUGAAUCGUAGCAUUCAGAACUGUUGCUGACCUGUUAAAGGGUAUGUGCACGUUCGACGUGUUGCGUUCUAUUCAUCCACCUGUGCACCUUUGUAGACUUGAUUAACUUUCGCUUUCGAGCGGUUAGAAGGGCUGCUUUCGAGCUCCCUUUGUCUAUCAAGUCUAUGUCUAUAUAAUCUCUUGUAUGUCUAGAAUGUCUUGUUUAUGGGACGCAAGUCCUUUAAAUCUUAUACAACUCUCAACAACGGAUCUCUUGGCUCUC
rnacentral:misc_RNA from 1 species